rnacentral:rRNA from 1 species
UACAGAGGGUGCAAGCGUUGUUCGGAUUUACUGGGCGUAAAGCGCGUGUAGGCGGCUUGGCAAGUCGGAUGUGAAAGCCCACGGCUCAACCGUGGAAGCGCAUCCGAAACUGCUUCGCUCGAGUCUCGGAGAGGAAGGUGGAAUGCUUGGUGUAGAGGUGAAAUUCGUAGAUAUCAAGCAGAACACCUGCGGCGAAGGCGGCCUUCUGGACGAUGACUGACGCUGAGACGCGAAAGCGUGGGGAGCAAACAGG